rnacentral:tRNA from 1 species
GGCGCCGUGGCCGAGUGGCUAGGCAGAGGCCUGCAAAGCCUCGUACACCAGUUCGAUUCUGGUCGGCGCCUUCA